rnacentral:rRNA from 1 species
AUAUUGGACAAUGGGCGAAAGCCGGAUCCUGCUAUGCCGCGUGUGUGAAGAAGUACAUCGGAUAGUAAAGUACUUUGUGUGGGGAGGAAUGGCAGUAAGCUACUACCUUGCUGUUUUGACGAUAGCGACAGUAUAAGCACCGGCUCACUUCGUGUCAGCAGCCGCGGUAAUACGAAGGAUGCAAGCGUUAAUCGGAAUUACUGGGCGUAAAGCGCGCGUAGGUGGUUUGUUAAGUUGGAAGUGAAAGCCCCGGGCUCAACCUGGGAACUGCUUUCAAAACUGGCAAGCUAGAGUAUGGCAGAGGGUGGUGGAAUUUCCUGUGUAGCGGUGAAAUGCGUAGAUAUAGGAAGGAACACCAGUGGCGAAGGCGACCACCUGGGCUAAUACUGACACUGAGGUGCGAAAGCGUGGGGAGCAAAC